GGAAGUUUGGCGCGGCGGAUACAUUCAAAAUUAGCGAGGAUGUGGACAUUGCUCAUGUCAGUUAAAGGGCCUGUAUUACUUUUUUUUUGGGGUCUCCAUUCAUACAUUCAGUUUUUGUUUACCAUUUUCGGUUUGUAAAAUAAUAUUGUACUGUAAUUGGCUGGAUAGCCCAGCCGUACAGCUGCACAACAGACUCCGUGGUACAGAAAAGAAAAGGCACUGGAAUUUU
rnacentral:misc_RNA from 1 species